AAGAGAAUUGUAAGUCACUG
rnacentral:miRNA from 1 species